GGGCAUUCCAUCUGCCUCCUCCAUUCCUCUCCUAAUGAAGUUUGAAACGCCUUCCCGAAGCUUUUGUCUCAUUGAUCUUGUGACGGGCCUUCCGGGUAGCUUAAGGGGAGUCGUGGUCGGGUCAGCCCGGGCCUUGGACUUCCCGUUUGUAUCAAUGCAGCCCCAAAGCCUUCAUCUUUUUCGCAUAAAUCAGAGUAACACAAGCUGAGAAAGGAGCUGGGAAAACAGCCCAGAAUAGCAUCACAACUUCCCAAGGAUCUGGCACAAAAUGCCAAUAUUUAGGAGCUAUAAAAGCAGCCCUCACCUUCUCCAUUCCCUCCACCCUCUAGUCACUACAAGCUUCACCAUAUCAAUCAAGGAAUUUCAGCAAAGAUCAGGGAGAGGGAAGGAGCAAGGAGGGCAGCCGCAUAAACCGUCGAAACCGUCCAAACCAAGGGAGAAAAAUAUUCAGGGGCAAGUGAGGCCCAGCGAGGAACUUAAGUGAAGAUAAGCACAAGAG